UACGUAGGGAGCAAGCGUUGUUCGGAAUUAUUGGGCGUAAAGAGCUCGUAGGCGGUGUGUCGCGUCGGCCGUGAAAACCUGGGGCUCAACUCUGGGCGUGCGGUCGAUACGGGCAUCACUUGAGUUCGGCAGGGGAGACUGGAAUUCCUGGUGUAGCGGUGAAAUGCGCAGAUAUCAGGAGGAACACCGGUGGCGAAGGCGGGUCUCUGGGCCGAUACUGACGCUGAGGAGCGAAAGCAUGGGUAGCGAACAGG
rnacentral:rRNA from 1 species